UUACAGGAGCUUAUACUCAGGGGAGUAUUGUGAAAUAGCAAUCCCCAAGAGUGUAGUUAUCCCAUCCCCCAAGCAUGAGCCAAGGUUUCAAGAAAGGGUCAAGUAGUUCUGUUUAAUGCAAGCCCGCACUAACAAUUUAUACAAACAUUUAAAGCCCCAACAGCCUCAUUUACAUACAAUAGGUUACAUAGAUUACUGUAGUACAAGGAAGGGUGGGGUCAGAUAAUAGCAAGGGCUGAUUGGAGAUUGAGGAGGGACAGAGCAGCCAGUUUAAACUGGUCUAGCAUUGUCCCUGGGACAACGCCCUGCUGGAGAAACAAUAGGACAGGAAAAAGGGGGAGGGGGAGAGGCACAGAUAAGCAAUACAUUCAACAUACUCCUCCUCUGUGUCUGGGAGAUAAUUGAUUAUCUUCAGGUACAGAAAAAUACACAAUUUACAAACACCCCAAAAGUACCCCCAAGAUCCAUGGAAACCCCACAAGAGUCAC